GUUGCAAGUGCAACGAUAUCCAGGAUUGCUGUCAGAAGUGAUGCAAUAACUAUUUUCUUGGCAUGCAAAAUUGGUCGUAUCUUUUUUUGCAUCUUCACAAGUCUUGUUCCUAAUGGCCCAAUCAAGCACAAUAGAGAGCCCACAUUAAUAAAAACCUACUGCAGUCAAAAUCCUUUAGGUGUUUGUAGCAUGGCUGAUGUACUAGUUUGUUUAGGGGUGUACCAAAAUCAAUAUAAGACAAAAUAAUCAUCCCAAACAAACUGGUAUCCCCAUUAGCGCAUGUCACCACUAGUGGAAAUGUGGAAUUUGUCAAUUGCUUCGGAACAAGUCCCUAAUGCAAACUGCUUGAUGCAUAGAAAGUUCAAAGUUCAAACCACAACUUUCCGCAAAUUAAGGCGGUAAAGACUACAGAGUUCUCACCGGGGUUAAUGGUCGAGAGCGAUGUGGAUGAGAAUCAUGAGAUUACCUCAACUAAAAGGCCAUGGAGGAUUAGGAAUCGAGGAGGGAGGGCGCAUCUUCAGGACUGAGAUAUGGGUUCCCCAAAUAUCCAUCGCUGCAAGUGCAACGAUAUCCUGGAUUGUUGUCUGAAUUGAUGCAAUAACUCUUUUCUUGGCAUGCAAAAUUGGUCAAAUCUUUCUUUGCUUCUUCACAAGUCUUAUUCCCAAUGGCCCAAUCAAGCACCAUAGCUUGGGAGGUUGAAAUGAAGUGUUGCAGGUAAGUCCAUAACCAAUCCCAGCACCAUCAAUGGAG